rnacentral:lncRNA from 1 species
CAGGCAGGUCCCUGUUCCUGCUAUACGCCCUCAAGAGCUCCCCCAGGCUGAGUCUGCUCUACCUGUACCUGUUUGACUACACCGACACCUUCCUACCUUUCAUCCACACCAUCUGCCCUCUGCAAGAAGACAGCUCUGGGGAGGACAUCGUCACCAAGCUUCUGGAUCUUAAGGAGCCUACGUGGAAGCAGUGGAGAGAGUUCCUGGUCAAAUACUCCUUCCUUCCAUACCAGCUGAUUGCUGAGUUUGCUUGGGACUGGUUGGAGGUCCAUUACUGGACAUCACGGUUUCUCAUCAUCAAUGCUAUGUUACUCUCAGUUCUGGAAUUAUUCUCCUUUUGGAGAAUCUGGUCGAGAAGUGAACUGAAGACCGUGCCUCAGAGGAUGUGGAGCCAUUUCUGGAAAGUAUCAACGCAGGGGCUUUUUGUGGCCAUGUUCUGGCCCCUCAUCCCUCAGUUUGUUUGCAACUGUUUGUUUUACUGGGCCCUGUACUUUAACCCAAUUAUUAACAUUGAUCUUGUGGUCAAGGAACUCCGGCGGCUGGAAACCCAGGUGUUGUGACUGGCACUGCCCAGGCUGAGACUCUUCAAGUCCCGCUGACGUCUGAGCUUUGAUGCUUAAGAGGGGUGAGGCAGGGAGCGGACUUCCUAUUUUCUACCCUCAGUAAAACAAGGUGCUGCUUU